AGAGUUUGAUUCUGGCUCAGAACGAACGCUGGCGGCGCGCCUAAUACAUGCAAGUCGAGCGAGAAGACGUAGCAAUACGUUUGUAAAGCGGCGAACGGGUGAGGAAUACAUGGGUAACCUACCCUCGAGUGGGGAAUAACUAACCGAAAGGUUAGCUAAUACCGCAUACGGCUCCUGGUCUGCGGAUCGGGAGAGAAAGCGAUACCGUGGGUAUCGCGCUCUUGGAUGGGCUCAUGUCCUAUCAGCUUGUUGGUGAGGUAACGGCUCACCAAGGCUUCGACGGGUAGCUGGUCUGAGAGGACGAUCAGCCACACUGGCACUGCGACACGGGCCAGACUCCUACGGGGGGCAGCAGUAAGGAAUAUUGCGCAAUGGGCGACAGCCUGACGCAGCGACGCCGCGUGGGGGAUGAAGGUCUUCGGAUUGUAAACCCCUUUCGGCAGGGAAGAUGGAACGGGUAACCGUUCGGACGGUACCUGCAGAAGCAGCCACGGCUAACUUCGUGCCAGCAGCCGCGGUAAUACGAAGGUGGCAAGCGUUGUUCGGAUUUACUGGGCGUACAGGGAGCGUAGGCGGUUGGGUAAGCCCUCCGUGAAAUCUCCGGGCCUAACCCGGAAAGUGCGGAGGGGACUGCUCGGCUAGAGGAUGGGAGAGGAGCGCGGAAUUCCCGGUGUAGCGGUGAAAUGCGUAGAGAUCGGGAGGAAGGCCGGUGGCGAAGGCGGCGCUCUGGAACAUUUCUGACGCUGAGGCUCGAAAGCGUGGGGAGCAAACAGGAUUAGAUACCCUGGUAGUCCACGCCUUAAACGAUGGAUACUAAGUGUCGGCGGGUUACCGCCGGUGCCGCAGCUAACGCAUUAAGUAUCCCGCCUGGGAAGUACGGCCGCAAGGUUGAAACUCAAAGGAAUUGACGGGGGCCCGCACAAGCGGUGGAGCAUGUGGUUUAAUUCGACGCAACGCGAAGAACCUUACCCAGGCUGGACAUGCAGGUAGUAGAAGGGUGAAAGCCUAACGAGGUAGCAAUACCAUCCUGCUCAGGUGCUGCGUGGCUGUCGUCAGCUCGUGCCGUGAGGUGUUGGGUUAAGUCCCGCGACGAGCGCAACCCCUGUCUUCAGUUGCCAACGGGUCGUGCCGGGAACUCUGGAGAGACUGCCCAGGAUAACGGG
rnacentral:rRNA from 1 species